CCUACGGGCGGCAGCAGUGGGGAAUAUUGCACAAUGGGGGAAACCCUGAUGCAGCGACGCCGCGUGAGUGAAGAAGUAUUUCGGUAUGUAAAGCUCUAUCAGCAGGGAAGAAAAUGACGGUACCUGAUUAAGAAGCCCCGGCUAACUACGUGCCAGCAGCCGCGGUAAUACGUAGGGGGCAAGCGUUAUCCGGAUUUACUGGGUGUAAAGGGAGCGGAGACGGCAGCACAAGUCUGGAGUGAAAUGCCUGGGCUUAACCCCGGAACUGCUUUGGAAACUGUGCAGCUGGAGUGCAGGAGAGGUAAGUGGAAUUCCUGGUGUAGCGGUGAAAUGCGUAGAUAGUAGGAGGAACACCAGUGGCGAAGGCGGCUUACUGGACUGUAACUGACGUUGAGGCUCGAAAGCGUGGGGAGCAAACAGGAUUAGAUACCCUUGUAGUC
rnacentral:rRNA from 1 species